GAACGAACGCUGGCGGCGCGCUUAACACAUGCAAGUCGAACGAGAAGGCGUAGCAAUACGCUUGUACAGUGGCGAACGGGUGAGUAAUACGUGGGCGACCUACCCUCGAGUGGGGAAUAACCCGCCGAAAGGCGGGCUAAUGCCGCGUACGCUUCCAUCUUUAUGGAGGUGGAAGGAAAGCCGUGCCGUGGGCACGGCGCUCAAGGAUGGGCUCACGUCCUAUCAGCUUGUUGGAGGGUAACGGCCUACCAAGGCUCCGACGGGUAGCUGGUCUGAGAGGACGAUCAGCCACACUGGCACUGCGACACGGGCCAGACUCCUACGGGAGGCAGCAGUGAGGAAUAUUGCGCAAUGGGCAAAGCCUGACGCAGCGACGCCGCGUGGGGGA
rnacentral:rRNA from 1 species